rnacentral:rRNA from 1 species
CUCAGAUUGAACGCUGGCGGCAGGCCUAACACAUGCAAGUCGAGCGGUAACAGAUCUAGCUUGCUAGAUGCUGACGAGCGGCGGACGGGUGAGUAAUCGCAUAGGAAUCUGCCCGGUAGUGGGGGAUAACCUGGGGAAACCCAGGCUAAUACCGCAUACGUCCUACGGGAGAAAGGGGGCUUCGGCUCCCGCUAUUGGAUGAGCCUAUGUCGGAUUAGCUNGUUGGUGAGGUAAAGGCUCACCAAGGCAACGAUCCGUAGCUGGUCUGAGAGGAUGAUCAGCCACAUCGGGACUGAGACACGGCCCGAACUCCUACGGGAGGCAGCAGUGGGGAAUAUUGGACAAUGGGGGGAACCCUGAUCCAGCCAUGCCGCGUGUGUGAAGAAGGCCCUCGGGUUGUAAAGCACUUUCAGCGAGGAAGAACGCCUAGUGGUUAAUACCCAUUAGGAAAGACAUCACU